rnacentral:rRNA from 1 species
AUAAGCAACGUGCCCUGAAGACUGGGAUAGCCCGGGGAAACCCGGAGUAAUACCGGAUGUGGCCACUUUCAGGAUCUGGGAGUGAUUAAAUGGUUUUUCGCUUCAGGAGCGGCUUAUGGCCUAUCAGCUAGUUGGUGAGGUAACGGCUCACCAAGGCGACGACGGGUAACGGGUCUGAGAGGAUGAUCCGUCCGAGUGGGACUGAGACACGGCC